rnacentral:rRNA from 1 species
CCUACGGGGGGCUGCAGUGGGGAAUAUUGGACAAUGGGGGCAACCCUGAUCCAGCCAUGCCGCGUGUGUGAAGAAGGCCCUCGGGUUGUAAAGCACUUUCAGUGAGGAAGAACGCCUGGUGGUUAAUACCCAUCAGGAAAGACAUCACUCACAGAAGAAGCACCGGCUAACCCCGUGCCAGCAGCCGCGGUAAUACGGAGGGUGCGAGCGUUAAUCGGAAUUACUGGGCGUAAAGCGCGCGUAGGUGGCUUGAUAAGCCGGUUGUGAAAGCCCCGGGCUCAACCUGGGAACGGCAUCCGGAACUGUCAAGCUAGAGUGCAGGAGAGGAAGGUAGAAUUCCCGGUGUAGCGGUGAAAUGCGUAGAGAUCGGGAGGAAUACCAGUGGCGAAGGCGGCCUUCUGGACUGACACUGACACUGAGGUGCGAAAGCGUGGGUAGCAAACAGGAUUAGAUACCCCUGUAGUC